AUCCAUAGCGAGGAAAGGGCUUUGAUCCGUCGCUGCAUUUGUACUGGCAGAGGCCGUCCUCGCCGCCCAGGAGGUCGAGCGCCGCGUUGAGGUAAACGUCGAUCUUGUGCACGCCGUUCCGGAUAGUUUUCAGCGUCAUCCUCCAGUCUGGGGUCUGCGGCGCCUCCUGGCUCCGGGCCGCCGGCGGCCGCGGGCCCACCCAGGCACCCGCCAUCAGCAGCGGCAGCAGCAGCAGGGCGCGGGCCAUGCCCGAGGAGCCGCGCCCCGCGCCGCCGGGCGCUCGCUAAGCCCCCGCCGCGCGGCCGCAGCGCUCCGCACGCACGGCCCGGCCCGCCGCCAUCGGCCCCGCGGGCGCCGCCCCUACGGCUGGGCGGGACUGCGAGCAGGGCGCGGCCUGUUGGAGAAGGCGGCCGGCGUCCGCUCCUGGCCCGGCGCUGCGGUGUGGGGUGCUGGGAGCGGAGCUGCUCCGGGAUCUUUCCACGUGCGAGCGAUUCGCUUUCAGGGUUUCCAGACACUGGGAGACCAGUAUAUUGUUUUCUGUGAAAUGGAGAAACGCCUCUGAUCAUCCUUGUUACUUCUUUCUCAGAAAGAUGAGAGGACUGGAACUUGCAGAUACAGAUCAUUCCCCUGGUGUGAUUUUCACUCUUCCUGGUCACCCACAAGCUAUACUCUUCAAAAAUCAGCUGAAGUGCACAACAGAUGAUAAACAUUUCAAGCCAGUGGUUUAUAGCACACCACAACAAUGGAACUGUGAGCAAAUUAAAAUAUAAGGGGACUUCACAGAAUCACACAGAAUGGCCUGGGUUGGAAGGGACUUCAAGGAUCAUGAAUCUCCAACCCACCCCCCUGCCCCCCCGGCACUGGCAGGGCCACCAACCUCUACAUUUAAUACUAGAGCAGGCUGCCAAGAGCCCCGUCCAGCCUAGCCUUGAACACCUCCACGGAUGGGGGAUCCACAACCUCUCUGGGCAGCCUGUUCCAGCACCUUACCACUCUCACAGUAAAGAACUUGCCCCUGACAUCCAACCUAAAUCUUCCCUCCUUCAACUUAAAACCAUUUCCCCUUGUCCUGCUAUUAUCUCCCCUUUCAAAGAAUUGACUCCCCUAACUUGGCUUAAACACCAGAAAAAUGAAAUUAAAAAAAAAAGAGUAGCAACUUGAUUUUUUUUCAAGACCUUUUUAUUGUCCCAGUUGACCCAGUUGACAUAACUAUAGCCAAUAACUACUUAGAAACAAAUAAAUCUAAAAUUGAAGAUGUGUUUCAUUGCAAGUAACAAGUAUUAAGUAUCUUCAACAAAUGUGAAAAUUAAGUGCCCUUCCCAGUCUGUUUUGUUCCCAUAUCUUGGAUGGCAGUGGGUUUGCAGUGUGGUUUCUGGUUGUUGUGGACUGCAAGGAGUGCUCCUUAUCCCUCCAUCUGACCAUCUGUCUCUAGGUGAGUGAUAACACCUAUCCUGGCAGCUCUCUGGUUAUUCCAUUGCUGGCUGAGUGCUUUUGCUCACUAAGAUGUGUGUGCAGGGGGAAUGUUGAAAUGUGAAAAAUAUGUAGCUAGACUUUGCAUAAAGAUGAGAAAGAAAUGUCAGUUGUCAGAUCGGAUUUAUCGGCUUUGAGUGCAUCCACUGAAUCAACAGAGCCAAAGUUUAAAGUUCUCGUGAAGAAAUCCUGGCCUAAGUAAAGGCAGUGGGAAUGUCGCCAGGGCUGAAUUUAUUCCGAGCCCCUCCCACCCUUUUAAGGGCUGUAUAAUCUUAAUAAAUUCUUCCUGUUCUUCUCAGGUCAGUAGAAUCCUAUGCAUUAUCUUUAGAUUUACAUACCAAACUCUGAGCCAGGCCCGGCUUGGCAUAACUCCUGUAUUGCACUAGAUGUUUCUCUUUAGCUCUGACAGAAUAGCAACAAAAGGGGCUGAUCUUUACCUACGGGUUUUUCUUGGAAAGCUCAGGCUAUGCUGAACAUGGAGCCCAUCAGGACUCCUUGAGAGGCUUUUGCCAGAAGAGAUUUUACAACAAAAGCUUUCUGAGCUGAGCCACACUUGCAGGUUGGGUUUAGCAUAGCAUCCCGAUUAAAAGAUUUUCCAAAAGGCUGUUAAUGUAAACCUCAGAUAGAACCGAUAUACAGAGGAGAAACAGCAAGAUUCACAUUUUCAAGCUGGACUAAAACAAAUGUACGAAAUGCAGAUGCUGCAAAAGGAAAUUAAAAAAGACUUUGUUUUUAUAAUAAUAAAUUGUUUUAACUGUUUGCUGUUGGUUGGUUUGUUUUUAAAAUAAGGGGAUACCACAAUAAAAUAAGUUCUUACCUGUGCUCGACAGAAAGAAAAGAGAGAGAAGCAAACCAAGAGAACUGCAACCACUCUCAUGAUGAGGUUUUAUGUCUUUGUAGAGAAAUUCCCCUGGCCGGGACUUUCCCAAUUGCCAGUCGUUAGGUUUGUGUUUAAUUUUUAACCUUUGGUAAAACACUCUGAAGUGGACUCAGAAACAACUACGGGAGCCUUAGAUAUCAACGGAUGAGUCUGCUCUCUCCACACGGAUCCCACCCCAUUUAACCUGUUUUACUGUAAAUAGAGACCAAAGGGAAGCCCUUGAAGCCAACGGUUACAAGGGAGUGCUCAGCAGGGUCUCUCGCUCCCCGCCUGCUGCCAACGCAGACCGAUGGAGCCGCGGGCCGAUCUCCUGGCAGCAGGCACCCCGCUCUGCAGGGAGCUGUUAGGGCAGGUGCGUUCUUAGGUGAGAUACGUGUGUCUGUAUGCAGGCAGGCAAACGGAACGGAUCAACUCCACUAUCUCCGUGCGAGAGCGUAACCGGCGGAGCCUUGCUCAGAGAACUGUUGGGGCAGUGGCCAAUCCACUGCAUCCCACCUGCGGGCGGUUUCCGGGAGAACCGCGGUCUCGGCCGGCACAACGGAACGGCUCCUGCGA
rnacentral:lncRNA from 1 species